ACGAACGCUGGCGGCGUGCCUCAUCCCUGCCCGUAGAACGCUGAAGAGAGGAGCUUGCUCUUCUUGGAUGAGUUGCGAACGGGUGAGUAACGCGUAGGUAACCUGCCUGGUAGCGGGGGAUAACUAUUGGAAACGAUAGCUAAUACCGCAUAACAACAGUUGUUGCAUGACAGCUGUUUAAAAGAUGCAAUUGCAUCACUACCAGAUGGACCUGCGUUGUAUUAGCUAGUUGGUGAGGUAACGGCUCACCAAGGCGACGAUACAUAGCCGACCUGAGAGGGUGAUCGGCCACACUGGGACUGAGACACGGCCCAGACUCCUACGGGAGGCAGCAGUAGGGAAUCUUCGGCAAUGGGGGGAACCCUGACCGAGCAACGCCGCGUGAGUGAAGAAGGUUUUCGGAUCGUAAAGCUCUGUUGUAAGAGAAGAACGGGUGUGAGAGUGGAAAGUUCACACUGUGACGGUAUCUUACCAGAAAGGGACGGCUAACUACGUG
rnacentral:rRNA from 1 species